CUUAGUUGCCAUCAUUCAGUUGGGCACUCUAAGUUGACUGCCGGUGACAAACCGGAGGAAGGUGGRGAUGACGUCAAAUCAUCAUGCCCCUUAUGAUUUGGGCUACACACGUGCUACAAUGGACAAUACAAAGGGCAGCGAAACCGCGAGGUCAAGCAAAUCCCAUAAAGUUGUUCUCAGUUCGGAUUGUAGUCUGCAACUCGACUACAUGAAGCUGGAAUCGCUAGUAAUCGUAGAUCAGCAUGCUAYGGUGAAUACGUUCCCGGGUCUUGUACACACCGCCCGUCACACCACGAGAGUUUGUAACACCCGAAGUCGGUAGAGUAACCUUUUGGAGCUAGYCGCCGAAGGUGGGACAAAUGAUUGGGGUGANGUCGUAACAAGGUAGCCG
rnacentral:rRNA from 1 species